GCUUGGGUCCCCUUCCACACUGUGGAAGCUUUGUUCUUUUGCUAUUUGCAAUAAGUCUUGCUACUGCCCACACUUUGGGUCCACACUGCUUUUAUGAGCUGUAACACUCACUGUGAAGGUCCGCAGCUUCACUCCUGAGCCAGCGAGACCACGAAUCCACCAGAAGGAAGAAACUCCGCAAACAUCCGAACAUCAGAAGGAAUAAACACCAGACGCUCCACCUUAAGAGCUGUAGCACUCACUGCCAGGGUCCGCGGCUUCAUUCUUGAAGUCAGUGAGACCAAGAACCCACCAAUUCCGGACACACACACAAAUCUCCAUGAUUUUUGUAGGAAAUGCCUUCUUUCUUCUCAAGAAUCAAUGCUCUAGAAAAAUCUACAAAAUACUUAUCUGGAGUUACAUUCUGUAGUUUAAACAAUAUGAAAUCUACAGUGAGUGGAGAUUCUGAGCUGCUGAGCAGUUUCUCCAGGUAGCAGGUGGUUGCAGCAGACUACAUCUGUAGCUCCAGUGAGUCUCCGAUUACCCUCCAUAGAUUGCUCCAAGAAUGUGUCAUAAUUUGUUUAAGCCAAUCAACAGAUCAUAUUUCCUGGUCAUUGAGAAACAGUGAGAUCUUGGUUGGAGAUGUCAGGAGACACACCCACAUUCCACAGAUUUAUUCCUGACCCUCAGCUCCAACAGCAUUAAAAAAAGAAAAAAAUAACAUACAUUUUCUAUUGUGCUUUGAUAAUUAUUUCAUUCUGCUCUGCUAUCUGGAGUAAAUAUUAGGCCACAGGGUAUGGUCCUUAAGGGGUAACUUCUUCCAAUUUCAUGUAUGAAUAAAUAAUGUUGUAUGGAGAAUUCUAGCUUUAGUAACAUUAGUUUUUACACAGACUAUAUUUCAAUAGAAAGAUAUGAACAAUAUAGCAGCCACCUAUUGGUUUAAUGAAUUCAUAAAAAUGGUAAUAUCCAUUUUCUUAUUCUAGCAAUGUGUAAAUUACAGUAUUUGAGAGAGCAUAUUCAUAGUUUAUUUACAAGUAUUCUCAUUUAUCAGAAAACUAAAAUUUAUUUGAACUUGUAAAACAAAAUGACCUAUAUAUACCAAUAUCAUUAGUCUAAAAAAAAAAUAAUUAUUUACCUCUCAGAGCCCAUGAGCUAGGCAAAGAUGAGAUGGAGAUGAUCUGAUUAAGACGUUGUUCAAGAAAAGUAUUUGUGAAAUCGCCAUUGUAAUAAAACAAUAUAGUGCUUUAAACAGAAGGUUGUAAUAUAUAGUUUAGAGUUUCAUCACUCUACGUAUUUCAGAUGUGGGGAUAAAUAUAAACCUAAGACAUAGUUAAGGUAAACAUUGGGAAACAAUUUGUUUUCUUUCCUUGAAAUCAAAGUUACCAAUCUCUGAUUAAAACAUAGUCCAGUUUCAUGACUGAAGUAUUGGCUGGUGGGAACCAGAAUUCAGCUGAUCUGAUAUUUAGGAGGUGAUUAUUGAUCCUGACAUCAAUACGGCUUUUAGGGUCACCCAGAUUGCUCCAUCACUGACAGGGGGCAGUCAGAUUAUUCUCACUAUUCCUGGAUUUUUUGUGAUUUACAUAAAGAGACUCUAUAGGUGAUGCUACACAUUUUAAUUUUGUUACUUCUAACCAAGAAUAAUUUAACCAACAGUCAUACGCAAUGUUCCUCAUAAAAAUGAAUAGAAAGCUUAUCAAAUAACUGACUAUAAUAGGUUUAUUAAUUGAUAUGGUUUGGCUGUGUCCCCACCCAAAUCUCACCUUGAGUUGUAAUAAUCCCCAUGUGUCAAGGGCAGGAGCAGGUGGAGGUAACUGAAUCAUGGGGGAGGUGUUCCCCCAUGCUAUUCUCAUGAUAGUGAGUGAGUUCUCAUGAGAUUGGAUGGUUUUAUAAGCAUCUGGCAUUUCCCCUGCCGAAACUCAUUCUCUCUCCUGCUGCCCUGUAAAGAGGUGGCUUCCUCCAUGAUUGUAAGUUUCCUGAGGCCUCCCAAGCCAUGUGGAACUGUGAGUCAAUUAAAUCUCUUUUCUUUAUAAAUUGCCAAGUCUCAGGCAGUUCUCUAUAGCAGCAUGAGAAAAGACUAAUACAUUAAUCAAAUCAUAUUUGUCAUUUCUUCUAUUAUACCAUUAAAAUUAAAAUCCCAAUAAUACUAAAAAUAAAUCAAGGUACAUGAGGACAGCAAUGAAAAUUAUUUAUUUACCCGUAUAAUAGUUACUCGCAAUCACCUGAUACUUGAUAAUACAGUUUAAUUUAAAUACACAAUAAUAGGGUUGCCAUUUUAUUUCCAUAUGAGAAAGAAAAUGAUAUAUAGUGCUUUAUCUUUCUAGAAAUACAAGGUGUAACAAUGUUUAGUUCUUUAAGUUAUGAGGUGAAACCAUUCAAAAAUAA
rnacentral:lncRNA from 1 species